rnacentral:rRNA from 1 species
AUGCAAUGGCAUCAUCUUACCAAAACAUUUAACAACUGCGAUGAAGAACCCAGAUCAAUACAUAUAGUGCUCAACCCACUCUGCCCUGCAAGAGGCAUGGUUAUCGUACCUCCAUUCCCAUGCUACGGACGGCAGGACGGCUAUUUCUACAAGUUCUGUCAACUCCUAUUCGAAGAAGAAGGUGACGGCUUGUCAUACUUGUGUGUGCGGGGUGAACUUUCUAAUGAUGGAAGAAAAUCUACGGUGUAUGUGUAUAUGUUGCAAGAUGGUGUUUGGUGCUUGCAUACCUCAGCAACGACACAACUUCCUUGUCGGCCACAGAUACUGAAUCCUCUGCUCGUUGACAAUAAAAUCUACAUGGCGGCCACCCAGAGUGAAAUUCUUGUGUUGGAUUUGACAGCCUCAAGUUUCUCCACAUUUCAGGUCCCACAAGGGUUGGUUAUUGGUUACAAACGAACCAUGUUGUCACGGGCAUAUGAUAAUUCUGGUGUGUAUCUCAUUCAUUUGAACGGGCUUCAGCUUUGCAUCUGGCUGUGCACAGGGGACAACUGGUUGCUGGUGGAUACCAUCUGCUUGCGUGAGAUGUAUGCUAAAUUGAGGAUGCCUGAUCUCACAAAUUGGGUGUGGAUAAAUCAGGUGGGGGUAAAUGCUGAGUUUGUUUUCUUGAAGAUGGGUCGAUACCUAGUCUAUGUAGGCAUCAAGUGCAGGAAGUUGUGUAAAGUGUAUGAGAUGACAAGUGAGGAUCGAUGGUUGGGUCGUAUCCAUCCUUGUAUGAUGAUCUGGCCUCCUACAUUCCAUGCGCUCAAGGAUGGUCCUGCAAGGUUUGUUUUUUGGCCUUUGGGUGAUGUUAUUGUAUUUUCUUUUUGUGUGGUCGCAUUAGAAGCAUAG